rnacentral:misc_RNA from 1 species
UUGGCUAGACCAAAAUCUGAAAUUUUGGGAGUUAAGUCUUUGUCAAGGAGAAUAUUGCUUGCUUUGAUAUCUCUGUGAACAAUGUAUGGUCGUAAAUCCUCAUGAAGAAAGGCAAGCCCUCGUGCUACACCAAUGCAGAUUUUAGAUCGUGUUCUCCAACUAAACUGGAUGUUACUGUGACUUUCUUCUCCAAGAAGAGUUUGUGCAAGACUAUUAUUCUCAAGGUAGUUGUAGACUAAAAUUCUGUGAUUUCC